CACCCCUCAAGCCGUGCCCUGUGUGUGGCUUGGUGUUGGGGCUCGCCAGUUUGGCGGCCCUUAAAGACAGUGGCGGUGCCAGUGUGGUCUCUACGCGUAGUACAAGUCUCGCGACAGAGCUCCAGUGGCUGCUUGCCAAUCAAUCUUUCAUUUCAA
rnacentral:misc_RNA from 1 species